CAUUUAAAGCGAUAGCAAUCCCUGCCCUCUCCCCAGUGCUGUGCUGUUGGAGAGAGCGAGCGGCAAGCCGGUGAGCGCGAGCGCGGCGCGCCGGCCGGCUAACCCGAGAGCGCGAGGCGCCCCAGGCUGGCAGGCACCGCGGGACCCCUCACCCACUCUGGUCGCCCCUCCCCGGACUCCCCCACCCUCCGUGCCUGCAGGAGCCCCUGGGCUUUCCCGGAGGAGCUCGCCCUGAGGGGCCCGGACCUCGGCGAGCCCACCACCGUCCCUUCCAGCGCUGCCGCCGCCACCGCAGCAGCCGGAGCAGCAUGGUCCAGCUGAGGAAGCUGCUCCGCGUCCUGACUUUGAUGAAGUUCCCCUGCUGCGUGCUGGAGGUGCUCCUGUGCGCGCUGGCGGCGGCGGCGCGCGGCCAGGAGAUGUACGCCCCGCACUCAAUCCGGAUCGAGGGGGACGUCACCCUCGGGGGGCUGUUCCCAGUGCACGCCAAGGGUCCCAGCGGAAUGCCCUGCGGUGACAUCAAGAGGGAGAAUGGGAUCCACAGGCUGGAAGCGAUGCUUUACGCCCUGGACCAGAUCAACAGUGAUCCCAACCUACUGCCCAACGUGACGCUGGGCGCGCGGAUCCUGGACACUUGUUCCAGGGACACUUACGCGCUCGAACAGUCGCUCACUUUCGUCCAGGCGCUCAUCCAGAAGGACACCUCCGACGUGCGCUGCACCAACGGCGAACCCCCGGUUUUCGUCAAGCCGGAGAAAGUAGUUGGAGUGAUUGGGGCUUCGGGGAGUUCGGUCUCCAUCAUGGUAGCCAACAUCCUGAGGCUUUUCCAGAUCCCCCAGAUUAGUUAUGCAUCAACGGCACCUGAGCUAAGUGAUGACCGGCGCUACGACUUCUUCUCUCGCGUGGUGCCACCCGAUUCCUUCCAAGCCCAGGCCAUGGUAGACAUUGUAAAGGCCCUAGGCUGGAAUUAUGUGUCUACUCUCGCAUCUGAAGGAAGUUAUGGAGAGAAAGGUGUGGAGUCCUUCACGCAGAUUUCCAAAGAGGCAGGUGGACUCUGCAUUGCCCAGUCCGUGAGAAUCCCCCAGGAACGCAAAGACAGGACCAUUGACUUUGAUAGAAUUAUCAAACAACUCCUGGACACCCCCAACUCCAGGGCCGUCGUGAUUUUUGCCAACGACGAGGAUAUAAAGCAGAUCCUUGCAGCAGCCAAAAGAGCUGACCAAGUUGGCCAUUUUCUUUGGGUGGGAUCAGACAGCUGGGGAUCCAAAAUAAACCCACUGCACCAGCAUGAAGAUAUCGCAGAAGGAGCCAUCACCAUUCAGCCCAAGCGAGCCACGGUGGAAGGGUUUGAUGCCUACUUUACAUCCCGUACACUUGAAAAUAACAGAAGAAAUGUAUGGUUUGCUGAAUACUGGGAGGAAAACUUCAACUGCAAGUUGACGAUUAGUGGGUCAAAAAAAGAAGACACAGAUCGCAAAUGCACAGGACAGGAGAGAAUUGGAAAAGAUUCCAACUAUGAGCAGGAGGGUAAAGUCCAGUUUGUGAUCGACGCGGUCUAUGCUAUGGCUCAUGCCCUUCACCACAUGAACAAGGAUCUCUGUGCUGACUACCGGGGUGUCUGUCCAGAGAUGGAGCAAGCUGGAGGCAAGAAGUUGCUGAAGUAUAUCCGCAAUGUUAACUUCAAUGGUAGUGCUGGCACUCCAGUGAUGUUUAACAAGAACGGGGAUGCACCUGGCCGUUAUGACAUCUUUCAGUACCAGACCACAAACACCAGCAACCCGGGUUACCGUCUGAUCGGGCAGUGGACAGACGAACUUCAGCUCAAUAUAGAAGACAUGCAGUGGGGUAAAGGAGUCCGAGAGAUACCUCCCUCAGUGUGCACACUACCAUGUAAGCCUGGACAGAGAAAGAAGACACAGAAAGGAACUCCUUGCUGUUGGACCUGUGAGCCUUGCGAUGGUUACCAGUACCAGUUUGAUGAGAUGACAUGCCAGCAUUGUCCCUAUGACCAGAGGCCCAAUGAAAAUCGAACCGGAUGCCAAGAUAUUCCCAUCAUCAAACUGGAGUGGCACUCCCCCUGGGCUGUGAUUCCUGUCUUCCUGGCAAUGUUGGGGAUCAUUGCCACCAUCUUUGUUAUGGCCACUUUCAUCCGCUACAAUGACACGCCCAUUGUCCGGGCAUCUGGGCGGGAACUCAGCUAUGUUCUUUUGACGGGCAUCUUUCUUUGCUACAUCAUCACUUUCCUGAUGAUUGCCAAACCUGAUGUGGCAGUGUGUUCUUUCCGGCGUGUUUUCUUGGGCUUGGGUAUGUGCAUCAGUUAUGCAGCCCUCUUGACGAAAACAAAUCGGAUUUAUCGCAUAUUUGAGCAGGGCAAGAAAUCGGUAACAGCUCCCAGACUCAUAAGCCCAACAUCACAACUGGCAAUCACUUCCAGUUUAAUAUCAGUUCAGCUUCUAGGGGUUUUCAUUUGGUUUGGUGUUGAUCCACCCAACAUCAUCAUAGACUAUGAUGAACAUAAGACGAUGAACCCUGAGCAAGCCAGAGGAGUUCUCAAGUGUGACAUUACAGAUCUCCAAAUCAUUUGCUCCUUGGGAUAUAGCAUUCUUCUCAUGGUCACAUGUACUGUGUAUGCCAUCAAGACUCGGGGUGUACCAGAGAAUUUUAAUGAAGCCAAGCCCAUUGGAUUCACUAUGUACACGACAUGUAUAGUAUGGCUUGCCUUCAUUCCAAUUUUUUUUGGCACCGCUCAAUCAGCGGAAAAGCUCUACAUACAAACUACCACGCUUACAAUCUCCAUGAACCUAAGUGCGUCAGUGGCGCUGGGGAUGCUAUACAUGCCGAAAGUAUACAUCAUCAUUUUCCACCCUGAACUCAAUGUCCAGAAACGGAAGCGAAGCUUCAAGGCGGUAGUCACAGCAGCCACCAUGUCAUCGAGGCUGUCACACAAACCCAGUGACAGACCCAACGGUGAGGCAAAGACAGAGCUCUGUGAAAAUGUAGACCCAAACAACUGUAUACCACCAGUAAGAAAGAGUGUACAAAAGUCUGUUACUUGGUACACUAUCCCACCAACAGUAUAGCUUUUGACUGCUUUCCAAAAGUAACCUCUGAGGACCUCAGCUUGCACAAAGAGGAUUGAGAUAACAUUUCCAAAGCUUGUUCUUCCUGAGCUGACCCAACACUUAGAAAAACGUGACAUGGAUCAGCAACCCCAUUUUCUGCCCUGCUGCAAAAAAGAAGUAUGUCAGUUAUAAUAACCUGGUUAUCUAACCUGUUCCAUUCCAUGGAACCAUGGAGGAAGAAGACCCUCAGUUAUUUUGUCACCCAACCUGGCACAGGACUCUUUGGUCCUACCCGCUUCCCAUCACCGGAGGAGCUUCCCCGGCUGGGAGACCAAUGUUAGAGGAUCCAAGUGACCUAAACAGCUGCUUUAUGAAAUAUCCUUACUUUAUCUUGGCUUAAUAAGUCACUGACAUCAGCACUGCCAACUCGGCUGCAAUUUUGGACCUUCCCUACCAAAGGGAGUGUUGAAACUCAAGUCCCGCCCCGGCUCUUUAGAAUGGACCGUGAGAGCCACAGGACCGUUUUGGGGCUGACCUGUCUUAUUACGUAUGUACUUCUAGGUUGCAAGGUUUUGAAAUUUUCUGUACAGUUUGUGAGGACUUUUGCACUUUGCCAUCUGAUGUCGUACCUUGGUUCACUGUUUGUUUUCGAAUGCCUUGUUUUCAUAGAGCCCUAUUCUCUCAGACGGUGGAAUAUUUGGAAAAAUUUUAAAAUGAUUAAAAUUUUAAAGCAAUCUUGGCAGAUUAAAAAAGUACAUCUGUACAUGACUGUAUAAUUAUUAUAGUACCACUGCACAUCAUGUUUUUUUUUUAAGACAAAAAAGAUGUUUAAAGACCAAAAACUGUGCUGAGAAAGUAUGCCCUACCUAUCUUUGGUACAUGAUAGGUUACAUAAAAGGAAGUUAUUGGCUGAACUGAAUAGAGGUCUUGAUCUUUGGAAUGCAUGCCAGUAAUGUAUUUUACAGUACAUGUUUAUUAUGUUCAAUAUUUGUAUUUGUGUUCUCUUUUGUUAUUUUAAUUAGGGUAUAUGAAUAUUUUGUAAUAAUUUUAAUAAUUAUUAAGCUGUUUGAAGGAAAGAAUAUGGAUUUUUCAUGUCUUGAGGUUUUGUUCAUGCCCCCUUUGACUGAUCAGUGUGAUAAGGACUUUAGAAAAAAGCAUGUAUGUUUUUUACUGUUUGUAACAAGUACUUUCGUUAAUCUUGCUGCUUAUGUGCCAAUUUAGUGGAAAAAACAACCCUUGCUGAAAAAUUCCCUCUUUCCAUUCUCUUUCAAUUCUGUGAUAUUGUCCAAGAAUGUAUCAAUAAAAUAAUUUGGUUAACUUUUUUAUUUUCUGCAAUAAAUAUUUUCAGUUGUUUUU